AUUUGUGUGCGAGUGUGGCGGAGAGAAAGAUCUCAGGUUUUUGGAUGGAGAAGAAGCGAGGCCAGUGCGACGCUCGCUAUGUGCUCGACGUACGCUAGCUGAUCACGUGAGGCGGAGUUCAAGAGCCGAGUUGAUCUCAAGAUGAUGAAAUGAUGAACUACUCCGACAAACGAUGUUGACGAAUCGACCUAAUGAGAGAUGGACCUAUCAAGUGCCGAGAUGAAUAUGGUCACCAAGUGGUCGUCAAUUAACAACACUAACGUAGUGUUAUCCCAGGUUAUAUUUUUGUUCUGUUGUGGAUGGUGCUAAGUGCCGGUGGGCUCGGCCUUCUUAUAUAAGUAUAUCCCAUCUUUAGCUUCUUUAUUGAGGACUGUCACUUAAGCUAGCAUGUAUUUUAAAACUUAUAAAUGUUUUAUACAUUCAAAUUGUAAUAUUUUUGAAUCAAAUUCUCUUGUAAUCACUCCAAUGAUAUAUUGUAAUAUAGUAUAACUUGUAAAUGUUGUAACUUGUAAUCAUUUUGUAAUAAAGAAUUUAUUUCCGCUGC